UGCGUUAUAUGAUAAAUAACAAUAAAUAACAAGGGUCUUAAUAUUUCUAAACGUUAUAUUUAUAAAUAGCUCAGCGCACCUUGUUCUUAUUAUAGAACAUAUGACAUACCACAAGGGAAAACCGACAUUUUAUUUAUGCAUCAUCGAAUUUGCGUUUGUACUGCUAUUGUUCAAUUACACGGUUAUUAUCUGUCAUAAUAAGUCCAGUUGUUUAACUGUAUGUAAACAGCAUACGUGAGUCUUGCCUAUCUCUAAAAAUAGGUAAAUGGGAAUCCCAAGCGCUUGAUAUAGAAUAUACACACAUGUUUCACUAUAUAUGUAUAUCGUGGACACUUAGUUAGCUGUUUAUGUAUACAGCCGUGGCGAUGCUUAGUUUUGUAUUGUUGUGCAUGAUACCAGCCAUCGGCUCAUGCCAAGACAUGAAGAACUGUAGCCACUACGUCCCUGGGAGUGAUCCCUCGGUAAGUAAAGAAUAAAUAUUAAGGUAUUCUUUAGUAUACUCACGAAAUGAUAUAUUGCUCUGAAUGUAUCAUAGGAUCACAUUAAUGAGGAAAUCCCAUCAGGAAUACUAU